rnacentral:rRNA from 1 species
GACGAACGCUGGCGGCGUGCUUAACACAUGCAAGUCGAACGAUGAAGAAAAGAAUUGAAGCUUCGGCAGAAAUUCAUUUCGGAUUAGUGGCAGACGGGUGAGUAACGCGUGAGCAACCUACCUCUUACAAAGGGAUAGCCUCGGGAAACCGGGAUUAAUACCAUAUAACAUUGCGACGAAGCAUUUCGAUGCAAUCAAAGCUACGGCGGUAAGAGAUGGGCUCGCGUCCCAUUAACCAGAUGGUGAGGUAACGGCUCACCAUAGUAACGAUGGGUAACCGGCCUGAGAGGGUGAACGGUCACACUGGAACUGAGACACGGUCCAGACUCCUACGGGAAGCAGCAGUGGGGAAUAUUGCACAAUGGAGGGAACUCUGAUGCAGCGACGCCGCGUGAGUGAUGAAGGAAUUCGUUUCGUAAAACUCUGUUCUAUGGGAAGAAAAGGACUGUACCAUAGGAGAAAGCGCCGGCUAAAUACGUG